rnacentral:rRNA from 1 species
AGAGCGAACGCUGGCGGCAGGCUUAACACAUGCAAGUCGAACGGAUCCUUCGGGAUUAGUGGCGGACGGGUGAGUAACACGUGGGAACGUGCCUUUUGGUUCGGAACAACACAGGGAAACUUGUGCUAAUACCGAAUGUGCCCUUCGGGGGAAAGAUUUAUCGCCAUUAGAGCGGCCCGCGUCUGAUUAGCUAGUUGGUGAGGUAAAGGCUCACCAAGGCUACGAUCAGUAGCUGGUCUGAGAGGAUGAUCAGCCACAUUGGGACUGAGACACGGCCCAAACUCCUACGGGAGGCAGCAGUGGGAAUAUUGCACAAUGGGCGAAAGCCUGAUGCAGCGACGCCGCGUGAGGGAUGACUGCCUUCGGGUUGUAAACCUCUUUCAGCAGGGACGAAGCGAAAGUGACGGUACCUGCAGAAGAAGCACCGGCCAACUACGUGCCAGCAGCCGAC